rnacentral:rRNA from 1 species
CAAUAGCGUAUAUUAAAGUUGCUGCAGUUAAAAAGCUCGUAGUUGGAUCUCGGGCUCAGGCUUGCGGUCCGCCUCGCGGCGGUCACUGCUCGUCCUGACCUCCACGCCGGUGUCACCGUCCCUUGGUGCUCCUGACUGAGUGUCUCGGGCGGCCGGUACGUUUACUUUGAAGAAAUUAGAGUGCUUAAAGCAGGCCCUAGCCGCCUGAAUAAUGGUGCAUGGAAUAAUGGAAGAGGACCUCGGUUCUAUUUUGUUGGCUCUCGGAGCUCGAGGUAAUGAUUAACAGGGACUGACGGGGGCAUUCGUAUUGCGGCGCUAGAGGUGAAAUUCUUGGACCGUCGCAAGACGAACUACAGCGAAAGCAUUUGCCAAGCAUGUUUUCAUUAA